rnacentral:rRNA from 1 species
CCUACGGGAGGCUGCAGUGAGGAAUAUUGGUCAAUGGGCGGAAGCCUGAACCAGCCAAGUAGCGUGCAGGAUGACGGCCCUACGGGUUGUAAACUGCUUUUAUACGGGAAUAACGCGCCUUACGUGUAGGGCUUUGCAUGUACCGUAUGAAUAAGGACCGGCUAAUUCCGUGCCAGCAGCCGCGGUAUUACGGAAGGUCCGGGCGUUAUCCGGAUUUAUUGGGUGUAAAGGGAGCGUAGGCCGCAUGUCAAGCGUGCUGUGAAAUGUCCGGGCUCAACGCGGGUCUUGCAGCGCGAACUGGCGUGCUUGAGUGCGCGGGAGGAAAGCGGAAGUCGUGGUGUAGCGGUGAAAGGCUUAGAUAUGACGAAGAACCCCGAUUGCGAAGGCAGCUUGCUGCAGCGGAACUGACGCUGAUGCUCGAAAGCGCGGGUAUCGAACAGGAUUAGAUACCCGAGUAGUC